rnacentral:rRNA from 1 species
AUUGAACGCUGGCGGAAUGCUUUACACAUGCAAGUCGAACGGCAGCACGGGUGCUUGCACCUGGUGGCGAGUGGCGAACGGGUGAGUAAUGCACCGGAACGUAUCCAAUAAUGGGGGAUAACGCACCGAAAGGUGUGCUAAUACCGCAUACGCCCUGAGGGGGAAAGCGGGGGAUCGUAAGACCUCGCGUUAAUGGAGCGGCCGAUGCCGGAUUAGCUAGUUGGUGAGGUAAAGGCUCACCAAGGCGACGAUCCGUAGCCGGUCUGAGAGGACGACCAGCCACACUGGAACUGAGACACGGUCCAGACUCCUACGGGAGCAGCAGUGGGAAUUUUGGACAAAUGGGCGCAAGCCUGAUCCAGCCAUUCCGCGUGAGUGAAGAAGGCCUGGUU